rnacentral:lncRNA from 1 species
GGAGAAUCGGCGAACACGAACAAUCGACUCAUUCCAUGGUUUUGUUCCUCUUGAGGAAAAGAAAGGCAUGGUGGAGAAUAAGUUCAACGGCUCACGCAUCACCUCCGAGAAACAUACGCCGGGUCCUGUACCCGUGGCAACUCAUGAACCUAUGCCACCUCCUUUGCACACUGUAAGUGUAAAAUAUAAUAGCAAAGAUGAAGAGCAGAGGUUUGAAAAGGUUAAGCAGGAAACUGCAGCCAAAGAUAACAAGCCAGAAUGCACAUCUUUGGAUGAAAUAGCAGCCAAAGCAAAGGUGAAAUCAGCACCCGUGGCAACUCAUGAACCUAUGCCACCUCCUUUGCACACUGUAAGUGUAAAAUAUAAUAGCAAAGAUGAAGAGCAGAGGUUUGAAAAGGUUAAGCAGGAAACUGCAGCCAAAGAUAACAAGCCAGAAUGCACAUCUUUGGAUGAAAUAGCAGCCAAAGCAAAG